rnacentral:rRNA from 1 species
AUUGAACGCUGGCGGCAGGCCUAACACAUGCAAGUCGAGCGGAUGAAGGGAGCUUGCUCCUGGAUUCAGCGGCGGACGGGUGAGUAAUGCCUAGGAAUCUGCCUGGUAGUGGGGGAUAACGUCCGGAAACGGGCGCUAAUACCGCAUACGUCCUGAGUGAGAAAGUGGGGGAUCUUCGGACCUCACGCUAUCAGAUGAGCCUAGGUCGGAUUAGCUAGUUGGUGGGGUAAAGGCCUACCAAGGCGACGAUCCGUAACUGGUCUGAGAGGAUGAUCAGUCACACUGGAACUGAGACACGGUCAAGACUCCUACGGGAGGCAGCAGUGGGGAAUAUUGGACAAUGGGCGAAAGCAUGAUCCAGCCAUGCCGCGUGUGUGAAGAAGGUCUUCGGAUUGUAAAGCACUUUAAGUUGGGAGGAAGGGCAGUAAGUUAAUACCUUGCUGUUUUGACGUUACCAACAGAAUAAGCACCGGCUAACUUCGUG